rnacentral:rRNA from 2 species
CAACAGGGAUUGCCCAGUAACGGCGAGUGAAGCGGCAACAGCUCAAAUUUGAAAUCUGGCCUCGCGGCCCGAGUUGUAAUUUGCAGAGGAUGCUUUUGGUGAGGUGCCUUCCGAGUUCCCUGGAACGGGACGCCAUAGAGGGUGAGAGCCCCGUCCGGUUGGAAGCCGAGCCUGUGUAAAGCUCCUUCGACGAGUCGAGUAGUUUGGGAAUGCUGCUCUAAAUGGGAGGUACAUGUCUUCUAAAGCUAAAUACCGGCCAGAGACCGAUAGCGCACAAGUAGAGUGAUCGAAAGAUGAAAAGCACUUUGAAAAGAGGGUUAAACAGUACGUGAAAUUGUUGAAAGGGAAGCGCUUGUGACCAGACUUGGGCCCGGCGAAUCAUCCAGCGUUCUCGCUGGUGCACUUCGCCGGCCCAGGCCAGCAUCAGUUCGCCUCGGGGGAUAAAGGCGUCGGGAACGUGGCUCCCUCGGGAGUGUUAUAGCCCUUCGCGCAAUACCCUGCGGCGGACUGAGGUCCGCGUUCUGCAAGGAUGCUGGCC